rnacentral:rRNA from 1 species
CUACGGGGGGCACCAGUAGGGAAUCUUAGACAAUGGGGGAAACCCUGAUCUAGCCAUGCCGCGUGAGUGAUGAAGGCCUUAGGGUUGUAAAGCUCUUUCGCUGGGGAAGAUAAUGACGGUACCCAGUAAAGAAACCCCGGCUAACUCCGUGCCAGCAGCCGCGGUAAUACGGAGGGGGUUAGCGUUGUUCGGAAUUACUGGGCGUAAAGCGCGCGUAGGCGGGCUAUUAAGUCAGGGGUGAAAUCCCGGGGCUCAACCCCGGAACUGCCUUUGAUACUGGUAGUCUUGAGUUCGAGAGAGGUGAGUGGAAUUCCGAGUGUAGAGGUGAAAUUCGUAGAUAUUCGGAGGAACAUCAGUGGCGAAGGCGACUCACUGGCUCGAUACUGACGCUGAGGUGCGAAAGUGUGGGGAGCAAACAGGAUUAGAUACCCCAGUAGUC